AAAAAGAUUAAAAACAUCUUGCCCAUGUUUUUACAGCUAAUUAGUGUGUGUGUCGUAAUAUUUUUAGUUAAGAAUGCUAUGAACAUUAGGAAAUAGUUUGAGAAAUUGCUAUACUUCAUUUUGUGCGACUAAUUUUGUUUUUGUUUUCCCCACUCUUAGGGUUUGUUGGCUUGUUUAACCUUUUGUUCCUAUGGCCAGGCUUUUUCUUGCUUCAUUACACUGGUUUUGAGGCCUUUGAGUUACCCAGUAAGCUUGUGUGGAUGUAUCUCAUCAUUAAUGGACUUAUUGGGACAGUUCUAUCUGAGUUUCUUUGGCUAUGGGGUUGCUUUCUAACCUCUUCAUUGAUAGGUACACUUGCAUUGAGUCUUACGGUACCUCUGUCCAUAAUUGCUGACAUGUGCAUGCAAAAGGUGCGGUUUUCUUGGCUGUUUUUUGCAGGUGCCGUCCCUGUUUUUCUUUCCUUCUUCAUUGUUACCAUUUUAUGCCACUACAAUAACUGGGAUCCAGUGAUGGUGGGUGUGAGAAGGGUUUUUGCUUUUAUCUGUCGGAAGCAUCGAGUACAAAGGACCUUAGAAGGAACUCGAGUUGGUUUGGGCAUCUGUAGUAGUUAUUUUAAUAAGUUAAAGAGGUGUCCUGUAUUACACAGAACUUCAGAAGACAGUGAGCAGUGUGAAAGCCUCAUUCCUAUGCAUGGUGUUUCUCAGGAUGAUGGGCCCAGCUGCUGUUCAUAAACUACAGAGUAAGAGCAGCGUUUGGCAAAGUGACAAUCCUGGAGAAGCCUGAAGGAAACUUUGUUUUUCAGUGCCUCUUUUUACUUUUUUUUUUUUUUUUUUUAAUGAUGUGCAAACAUUUGAUCCCUUCAAACUUAAAUUACUGUACCUUCGCAAGGACCCCCUUUUAUACUGGACUUUGUUUAAUGGUACGUACCUGCAGAUUUGUUAGGAAACCAAAACCUUUGGAGUAGCCUACCUGCCUUACCGAAUGUAAAGAAUGACAAUAUGGGGAGACCACUUGAAACACUCAGACUUUUCAGCACAGUAGAGCACAUAAGAGGUAACGGUUUACUCUUUUCAUUUUCACUAGAUGCUGGAUACUAAUAUAAGACGUGUGAAUUGGUACUACAUCCUCCCACUAAGCUCUGAAAGGAAAAGUACCCUUUCUAUUGGAUGUGGUACAGAAUACCAACACCCUACAGUGUACAUAGGAGAUCAAAUAUGAAUACAACAGAAGAUAAAAGUAUUAUAUUUUAUUGUAAAAAAAAAAAAAAAGGA